rnacentral:rRNA from 1 species
GAUGAACGCUGACAGAAUGCUUAACACAUCAGCAAUUGAUUGGUGGCGGACGGGUGAGUAACGCGUAAAGAACUUGCCUCACAGGUAGGGACAACAUUUGGAAACGAAUGCUAAUACCUAAUACUGUGAGAGAGCUUUGCGUCCCAUUAGCUAGUUGGAGAGGUAACGGCCCACCAAGGCGAUGAUGGGUAGCCGGCCUGGGAGGGUGAUCGGCCACAAGGGGAAUGAGAAACGGCCCUUACUCCUACGGGCGGCAGGAGUGGGGAACAGUGGACAACGGACCAAAGUAUGAUCCAGCAAUUCUGUGUGCACGAUGAAGUUGUCUGAAGGUAAAGUGCUUUCAGUUUGGAAGCGUUACCAACAGAAGAAGUGACGGCUAAAUACGUGCCAGCAGACGCGGUAAUAC